UGUGAAGGAAAGGUGAAAAGGACCCCGGGAGGGGAGUGAAAGAGAACCUGAAACCCUGUGUCUACAAGCUGUGGAAGUGCUUUAUAUGCACGACCGCGUACUUUUUGUAGAACGGUCCGGCGAGUUACGCUUACUGGCAAGGUUAAGCACUUCAGGUGUGGAGCCGUAGGGAAACCAAGUCUUAAGAGGGCCAGAGUCAGUAGGAGUAGACCCGAAACCGGGUGAUCUAUCCAUGUCCAGGUUGAAGCUGCCGUAAGAGGUAGUGGAGGACCGAACCCACAUCCGUUGAAAAGGGUGGGGAUGAGGUGUGGAUAGGGGAGAAAUUCCAAUCGAACCCGGAGAUAGCUGGUUCUCCUCGAAAUAGCUUUAGGGCUAGCCUCGAUACAGAUUUGCGGAGGUAGAGCACUGAAUUUCCUAGGGGGCGUCAAAGCCUACCGAAGAAUAUCAAACUCCGAAUGCCGCGUAAUCGAUUAUCGGGAGUCAGACUGCACGAGAUAAGUUGGGCGGUCAAAAGGGAAAGAGCCCAGACCUUCAGUUAAGGUCCCCAAGUGCGCGUUAAGUGGAAAAGGAUGUGGGAUUUCGAAGACAACCAGGAUGUUGGCUCAGAAGCAGCCAUCCAUUCAAAGAGUGCGUAAUAGCUCACUGGUCGAGAGGUCCUGCGCCGAAAAUGUCCGGGGCUGAAACGCGCCACCGAAACUAAGGAACCGAAAGGUUGGUAGAGGAGCAUUGCAUGCGGGAAGAAGCAGUACCGUAAGGAGCUGUGGACUGCAUGGAAGAGAGAAUGCCGGAAUGAGUAGCGAGAAUAAGGUGAGAAUCCUUAUGGCCGAAUAUCCAAGGUUUCCAGAGUAAAGCUGAUCUGCUCUGGGUAAGUCGGGGCCUAAGGCGAGGACGAGAGUCGUAGCCGAUGGACAACAGGUGGAGAUUCCUGUACUGCGGUAUGACAGAACUGUGGGGACACGUAAGGAAAGCGGAAGCCGGGAAUGGAAAGCCCGGUGCAAGCGGGGUACCAGUCACUUUGGCAAAUCCGGGUGGCAAUGGGAAGCCGUGAUGCGGAGUGAAAUAAAGUAACGAAGUCCGUGAGCCAUGCGUCAAGAAAAGCCGCUAUUGUUUAUACCGUACCCGUACCGUAAACCGACACAGGUGGAUGAGGAGAGAAUCCUAAGGCCGGCGGAAGAAGCAUUGUCAAGGAACUCGGCAAAAUGGCCCCGUAACUUAGGGAUAAGGGGUGCCUGGGAAACCAGGCCGCAGAGAAUAGGCUCAAGCAACUGUUUAGCAAAAACACAGGUCUAUGCGAAACCGAAAGGUGAGGUAUAUGGGCUGACGCCUGCCCGGUGCUGGAAGGUUAAGAGGAGAGGUUAGCGCAAGCGAAGCUUUGAAUUUAAGCCCCAGUAAACGGCGGCCGUAACUAUAACGGUCCUAAGGUAGCGAAAUUCCUUGUCGGGUAAGUUCCGACCCGCACGAAAGGCGUAAUGAUUUGAGCGCUGUCUCGACAAUGCAUCCGGUGAAAUUGAAGUACCAGUGAAGAUGCUGGUUACCUGCGCCAGGACGGAAAGACCCCAUGGAGCUUUACUCCAGUCUGGUACUGGGACUCGGUAUUGCAUGUACAGGAUAGGUGGGAGGCUAGGAGAUGGUAACGCCAGUUGCCAUGGAGCCGCUGUUGGGAUACCACCCUUGCAGUAUUGGGUUUCUAACCAGCCGCCGUGACCCGGCGGUGGGACAAUGCCAGACGGGGAGUUUGACUGGGGCGGUCGCCUCCGAAAGGGUAUCGGAGGCGCCCAAAGGUUCCCUCAGAAUGGACGGAAACCAUUCGAAGAGUGCAAAGGCAGAAGGGAGCUUGACUGCGACACCGACGGGUGGAGCAGGUACGAAAGUAGGGCUUAGUGAUCCGGUGGUAUUAAGUGGGAAUGCCAUCGCUCAACGGAUAAAAGCUACCCUGGGGAUAACAGGCUUAUCACUCCCAAGAGUUCACAUCGACGGAGUGGUUUGGCACCUCGAUGUCGGCUCAUCGCAUCCUGGGGCUGUAGUAGGUCCCAAGGGUUGGGCUGUUCGCCCAUUAAAGCGGUACGCGAGCUGGGUUCAGAACGUCGUGAGACAGUUCGGUCCCUAUCCGGCGUGGGCGUAGGAUAUCUGAGAGGAGCUGUCCUUAGUACGAGAGGACCGGGAUGGACGGGCCGCUGGUGCAUCGGUUAGACUGCCAAGUCUACGGCCGAGUAGCCAAGCCCGGAAGGGAUAAACGCUGAAGGCAUCUAAGCGUGAAGCCCCCCUUAAGAUGAGAUAUCCCAUUCGAAAGAAGUAAACCCCCUUGAAGACGACGAGGUAGAUAGGGCAGAGGUGGAAGUGCAGCAAUGCAUGGAGCUGACUGUUACUAAUCGGGUGAGGGCUUGACCAA
rnacentral:rRNA from 1 species